rnacentral:tRNA from 1 species
GGUGGAUUACUUUAAUUGUAGAAGGUUAAGUUUGCAACUUUAUAGUGUGGUUUCCAUAUCCACUU